rnacentral:lncRNA from 1 species
AAAGACAAGCCUUGGGAGCGCGCGCCCGCACGCGAGAACGGCCAAACAUACGAACCUACUGCAAGUCUCACGGCCGCGAGAAUAUCACACUGGAGGAGCUCGCGGCCACACGCGAGGCUUGAAGCUGCUGACUUGUUUUAUUUUAUUUCCAAAUUUUAAAGGUUGUAAUUGAUUUAAAAUGAUUCCUGACUGGUGUCAGGGUUAUCACUUGACAUUUGAUUAGUUUUUCACGUAUCUUUACUUGGUAAUUAGGGUUUUUACUCUCUAGGAGAAAGUCCAACGUAGAAGGAGGCGACAACUCUAUCUCUUUGUUCCUUCUUGGGAUUUUCUACCAGAGUGAGAUUAUUAUUAUUAGUUUUUUGCUGGAAUCGUAUGAGGAUUUGAAUUUUGAUUCAUAUUCUGCAAUUGGGUUUGAUAGUUUCAUCUUUCAUCUUUCAAUUGUCAUUUAUUGAUCAUGUUUAGAUUUGAUCCCAUCAUGGCUUUUGGUUCAGUCAUGAACUAAACUCCAUUAUGGGAUUAUAACGGAUUUUAAUAUGUAGUUUGAUUUCAUGUUUAAAUGCUGGAUUGCUUUGCAUAUCAUAUGGGA